CUCACAUUGAAGUGAGCACUCAUAUAUCGAUGUGAGCACUGCUGAGGAUGUGCAACGCGGAUGCAAAGAGAAUAUUAUUUUUGUUCUCAGAUUUGCCAAGCAGAUUGAAAACCUCCGAUGCAGUGGACCUGUAUUUGCCGAAUUUAAUGGCGUUACCAGUAGGAGCCUUGAGGCAGACUUCUUUGAGGCUCUGGACCAGCACACCCCACGUUUCAUCCAACUGUUCAAAUCAAAGAAAGGAUCGGUUGGACAGAAACUGACAGAGUUGAUGCAGAGCAUCAACUGGGUGACACCAGACGUGACUGAACAGCGCUCUGUUGUCCUCAAAGGGAUUGCGAUUGUUCUUGGCGACGACUCCAACGAUUUC